rnacentral:rRNA from 1 species
GACGAACGCUGGCGGCGUGCUUAACACAUGCAAGUCGAGCGAUGAAGCUUCCUUCGGGAAGUGAAUUAGCGGCGGACGGGUGAGUAACACGUGGGCAACCUGCCUAUAAGAGGGGGAUAGCCAUCCGAAAGGGUGAGUAAUACCGCAUAAUAUGUUUUUAUCGCAUGGUAGAAAUAUUAAAGGAGUAAUCCGCUUAUAGAUGGGCCCGCGGCGCAUUAGCUAGUUGGUGAGGUAACGGCUCACCAAGGCAACGAUGCGUAGCCGACCUGAGAGGGUGAUCGGCCACAUUGGGACUGAGACACGGCCCAGACUCCUACGGGAGGCAGCAGUGGGGAAUAUUGCGCAAUGGACGAAAGUCUGACGCAGCAACGCCGCGUGGGUGAUGACGGUCUUCGGAUUGUAAAGCCCUGUCUUCGAGGACGAUAAUGACGGUACUCGAGGAGGAAGCCACGGCUAACUACGUGCCAGCCGCCGCCGUAACAC